CGGGCAGUAGCUCAGUGGUAGAGUUCCAGCUUCGUAUGCGGGAAGAUCUGGGUUCAAUUCCCGACUGCUUAC
rnacentral:tRNA from 1 species